UUUUUUAAUGGAUUCAAUCUAAUUGUUAUUACAAUGCUAUUUGGGCUUAUUUGACAAGUAAUAGAAAGUUGUGGAGUUUAUUUAAAUUUUUGCCAAUGAUCAAUCUUCCAGCUCGAUAGAGAUCGGAGAGUGGUUGCGAGCGAGCGCACUGCCCUGAAGUCGUGCCAGCAUCAUCAUCGUCAAGCCUGUCGGCGAAGGUGCACUCUUUGUUGAUCUUCAACAUUUGCGAUAGCUAUGUGAGGCGCGCUUCUCGGCUCCGUCCUACCCGAUGGCACCGUCGACAUUCGUAAUUCUUACGCCGUCCCUCAAAAUGAAUCCUCCGACCUGGUCUGCAGUCCUUCGUUACUGAGAAUUUAUUAUUCUGGCGAUUUAUGAAAUUUUUACUCAAAUUUUUAUGCGCAAUGGUUAAAGUGAACUUCUUAUGAUGAUUUUCUAAUUGAAAACACGACUAUUGUAAUAUUGAAAUGGAGUUGUAAUUUGUGUUUCCCGGGGAGUUUCCGUCAUUGCUUGUACUUGUUCAACAUUAGUUUAGAGAGUCAGAUUAACGAUUGAAACCACAGUGGUGUUACAUGCUUAGCAGGAAACUGUAAGAGUUGCUAGUUUAGUAAGCAGUGAAAAGAUUUCCUAUUUAAGGAAUUUUGUUAAAGUCUCGCUGAAUGCAGUCAUGGAUGGACUAAACUAAUGGGAGUGUUGCUGUGGAUAUCUGCAACUAGUGUUUGUUGAUUGAGAAAAUAAGGGAGAAUUCAGAGAGAGAAGAAGGAUCUAGAAAAGAGAAGAGAGUCUCAUCAUUUUUCACAACUGAUUAACAUCCUAAAUGACACCACUCUAUAUAUUGACUGAAAAAUUCUGGCUGUUCUGUAACAAAUAACUAACUAACAACCCCUUGUAACCACUUCAAACUGAUAUUCCCUCCAGAUCUUUUUGCUUAUUUCUUAUUGAAGCUUUCUUAUUCUUCUCUGGAUAAUUGAGAUUGUUUGUCAGCUGAGAAUGUUUGAGAAAGAGAAGGAAAGGGAAAUAAAAAUAGCAGUUUUGAGUGAAAAAAAAUAAAUUAAAGAUAGAGGAUUGUAGAAGCUUUUCUAAGAUUUUCUAAUUCACAAACUAGCUCAUGGUUAUAUCUUUUAAUCAAUUCCAUUAAUCCAUUUCUGUAUAUAAUGUACAGCAAUUGUAAUUAACUUCUGUAAUUGUCAACUGUCUCACUAAUAAACUGCUACUAUCAUUGUUCCUUACAUAGAGUGAAAGUUGGAGUAGUGUGUGGAAAGCUUGAGUUCAUUUUUUAGCAUUUGGAUAAUGAAAAAGAAAAGGGAAACUUUAAACUACUGAUUUUUCAGUUACCUGUGGAAUCCACUUACAUUUGAUUUGACACUUUGAAAAAGAUUGGAGCUCAUUUGAGGUUGAGUUUCUCCUAACGUUUUCUUCCCCUCUUUCACUUAAUUUUCAAUUAUGCGGUCGUUAAAUUAUAUGUUCCCUUUGUAAAGGCUGCAGGUUGCUCUGGGUAUUGAUUACCAUCAUAAUACGUUGUUGUCUCACCAAAAAGUGAAUCCAAAGGAAGUUAUUGUUGGAUGUUAUGUCCAGGUAUUCCACUGUGUUACGAGUCACUGGUGGAAGUGCAUUGAUUCAUGAAUUCUAUUCUAGAGAAGUUCCCAAUCCUAUUCAUCUAACGGUGGAUGCUGGAUUCAGGAAUGGAGCGGGUACUAUUAAAGCCUAUGUUUCUGUUAAUUUGUUUCUCGGAGACCAUCAGCUUGCUUUACAAUUUCAAGAAAUUCCUGUCGAUCUUUGAAUGGUUGAAGAUGAGCAAGUUGGAUGUACGUAUAUUCUGAAAACUUCAUUGUUCUAAUAGGAUCUUUACUAAUCUUUGUCCUUUUACAAUUUAAAGCAAGUCAAUCCUGGAUUGUUUCAUGAUGAAUUUAGAGCAAUCCUGGAUUGGUUUUUUCAUGCGGUAUCUGAGAGCUAUCCGAUACAGUCUUGAUUGUUUUCCCCCCACCUCUACUUUCUUGUGUGAUUACUUUUUCCUUUUAUAGGUGGUAAGAAUAUAAUUUAUAGUUGUGGUAAGGAUUGAUGUUGGUAAUCCUUGUAGAACUUUGUUUCAGAUAGUGCCUUCAAAAUUAUGAAAACUACAUCUGCAGGCCUAGUUGAUAAUGGCCUCUGUGAAAUUAAAGUGACUGUUUAUCUUGUUAUUUUUCCUUUCCCUAGGUGGCAUGCGGCAGGCUCUUUUUGUUAAUUGAAAAGAAAAAUUAGUCACUAUUCUUGACUUUGUUGCUUUUUAGUAAGAAACAUUUAUCUUGCUUAACGUUGAGAUAUUAUUCUGGUGCAACAGUUACUGGAUUUGCAGUUGAUAAGAUCAAGUUACAUUUGGAUAGAUAACUUGAAACUAAUGAUGUGAAUUUAAUGUCUUGUCAAUUGUACAUGUAAAAAUUUAAAAUGAAUCCUUUUGAUAGAUUUUUGAUUCUUCGUAAAACAAGUUUCAUCCAUUUUGGAUCCCAUCGACCACAACCUCAUUCAAGUAAUUUAAACUAAAUAUUAAAUUCAGAUAUCUCCACUUCAUAUCCAUCUCAAGGUGACCUAUUCUUGUGUGAGCAAACUAGAUUUGGUGUGCUCCAUAUAUUUUACAUCUCAUUUCCUUUUCUUCAGUAUUAUUUUCAUAUCCUCUUUUAGAUUUUUGGAGUUUUGUACGCUUGUAUGUUGGUUAAGCCGAGAUUUUUUAGUGUGGUAUUAAUAAGAUUGUACUGAGUCAGAGUGUCUCAUGCAAUAUGAUUUGGCCGCCCUUUUUGUCCAUAAUUGUAGUUGAUGUCCUUAUGACAACAAUGGUUGACAAAAUCCCAAGUGAUUUAGAAGUAAUGGAAGCCUCAAUGCAGCAGUUACUAGCGCUAAAUGACAAUGUCUUCAGAUAUGUUGAUGAUGUUGUGCGGAAGGGCUUGCUGCAUCAUAUAGUAGCAUAGGCCGGCUUAUAUCAGAAACUGUUGCUUCCUUCCCAAACUUUUGCCAUCAACCUUUGAUAAGCUUGUGAACGACGGUCUUCAGGACCAUCUGCUCUUCCUAUAUUUAUCAAGCUCACGAGGACACGGCUAACGUUGAAUGUUGAAUGGUAAGUCCUCUGAUCCUCUGAUUUCUUUUAUGCAUUUUUUGGAUUGAUGGGUCAAAACAAUUAUAAUGUUGAAUGUUUUGACCAUUUGUAUUGCAUCAUGUCUUAUUCGACAAUACUAAUUGUUUUAAUAGUUGCCGAACAAAGCCCAGCUUGAGUAAUCAGCCUCUCAUUAUCAGUUGCUCCUUCUACUUAGAGCUGGUGGUCAUCCAAGGCAGGUAGUUUGCAACCUAGAGUUUCCUUCAUGUUAUGCGGGUCCUUUUCCGGGUUGGUUGGACCCGUUUACUAGCCCUAGAAUUUGUUGUUAGUAGGUUUGGGCCUCUCUGUAUUGGGCUUAGCUUUUUUAUAUGUUGGAUUUGCUCGGCCUUGUAUCUUGGGUUCUACCCUCUUCAUGUAUUGGGCUUCUUUCUAUCUAAUAAAUAUCUCAUCUUUAGCAGAAAAAAAAAAAAAAAAACUAGUGGAGCAAGGCAACUGUCCCCUCUCAUAAACUAUUCUGCCUCAACCAGUAGAUUCCAACCUUGUACAAUAUCAAAAUUCUAUAUUAAAUGGUAAUUGUUAGAUAUGUUCAUUUUCAGAAAGAAAAUAAUAUAAUUUCAUAUUAUGUAAAGAAAAUGUGACAGAAUUGUUAAACGUUUUCAAUGUCAUUUGCUUAUGCUAUUUGGAUAAUG